AUUGAACGCUGGCGGCAGGCUUAACACAUGCAAGUCGAGCGGGGGAAGGUAGCUUGCUACUGGACCUAGCGGCGGACGGGUGAGUAAUGCUUAGGAAUCUGCCUAUUAGUGGGGGACAACAUUCCGAAAGGAAUGCUAAUACCGCAUACGUCCUACGGGAGAAAGCAGAGGACCUUCGGGCCUUGCGCUAAUAGAUGAGCCUAAGUCGGAUUAGCUAGUUGGUGGGGUAAAGGCCUACCAAGGCGACGAUCUGUAGCGGGUCUGAGAGGAUGAUCCGCCACACUGGGACUGAGACACGGCCCAGACUCCUACGGGAGGCAGCAGUGGGGAAUAUUGGACAAUGGGGGGAACCCUGAUCCAGCCAUGCCGCGUGUGUGAAGAAGGCCUUAUGGUUGUAAAGCACUUUAAGCGAGGAGGAGGCUACUAGUAUUAAUACUACUGGAUAGUGGACGUUACUCGCAGAAUAAGCACCGGCUAACUCUGUGCCAGCAGCCGCGGUAAUACAGAGGGUGCGAGCGUUAAUCGGAUUUACUGGGCGUAAAGCGUGCGUAGGCGGCCAUUUAAGUCAAAUGUGAAAUCCCCGAGCUUAACUUGGGAAUUGCAUUCGAUACUGGAUGGCUAGAGUAUGGGAGAGGAUGGUAGAAUUCCAGGUGUAGCGGUGAAAUGCGUAGAGAUCUGGAGGAAUACCGAUGGCGAAGGCAGCCAUCUGGCCUAAUACUGACGCUGAGGUACGAAAGCAUGGGGAGCAAACAGGAUUAGAUACCCUGGUAGUCCAUGCCGUAAACGAUGUCUACUAGCCGUUGGGGCCUUUGAGGCUUUAGUGGCGCAGCUAACGCGAUAAGUAGACCGCCUGGGGAGUACGGUCGCAAGACUAAAACUCAAAUGAAUUGACGGGGGCCCGCACAAGCGGUGGAGCAUGUGGUUUAAUUCGAUGCAACGCGAAGAACCUUACCUGGCCUUGACAUACUAGAAACUUUCCAGAGAUGGAUUGGUGCCUUCGGGAAUCUAGAUACAGGUGCUGCAUGGC
rnacentral:rRNA from 1 species